CGCGUGGUGUUCGUGGAAAGCACGGAUGGCGAUGCGGCCUUCAACUGAGGU
rfam:Idiomarina sp. A28L contig00024, whole genome shotgun sequence.